rnacentral:snoRNA from 1 species
UCGAAGGCUAUGAUGUACAAAUCUACCUAUUUUCUGAGAGGAAUUUUAAAAUUUUUUUUUGGUUCUUCUAUGAUUAGAAGAUUCCAAUGGAUCCUUCUGAGCCUUCU